CACGUAGGGGGCGAGCGUUGUCCGGAUUUAUUGGGCGUAAAGAGCGUGUAGGCGGUCAGGUAGGUCCGUUGUGAAAACUCGAGGCUCAACCUCGAGACGCCGAUGGAAACCAUCUGACUAGAGUCCGGAAGAGGAGAGUGGAAUUCCUGGUGUAGCGGUGAAAUGCGCAGAUAUCAGGAAGAACACCCGUGGCUAAGGCGGCUCUCUAGUACGGUACUGACGCUGAGACGCGAAAGCGUGGGGAGCGAACAGG
rnacentral:rRNA from 1 species